AAUACACAAGGUGAUGAGUAUGUCUUUGAGAGUGUGCUUCUCUGUCUGAAACUGCCCCUCGGGGGGGAAAGAGAGAGGAUCCCUUUCCUUUACUAUACGUCUUGUCGAGACAGCGGCAGAAGACGAAAGAGACGGAGAAGCGGGAGAGUGAAAGAGCGAGAACCCAUGGAGUGCAGGGGUUUAUUGUAAACAGGAUAUGGAGCUGCCUUUUCAGAGGGGGACGUCACUCAAGGGGCGACCAAUGAUCCCUGUAAAUCGCCUUUACUCAAUUCACCUGACGCAACAAAUCAAAGAUGCACACUUCGGGUUCCACCAUCUAGACCUGAUCAUCUGUUGAAGAAAUUGACCAACAACACCCGAUGUCAAGGGAAGGCCAAAAAGAUCAUCAAGGACAUCAACCACCCAAGCCACUGCCUGUUCACACCACUACCAUCCAUAAUGCGAGGAAAUGUCAAACCAAGCAUCUGUUGGUAUGGCAACAGUACCGCCUUCGACCGCAUUGCACUACAGAGGGUUGUGCGGACAGCCCAGUACAUCACUUGGGCAGAGCACCCUGCAAUCCAGGACCUCUAUAUCAGGUGGUGUGAAAAGAAGGCCCGGAAAAUCGUCAAAGACCCCAACCACCCAAGCCAAAGACUAUUUUCUCUGCUGCCGGUACAGGUGAAUCAAGUCUGACACCAACAGGCUCUUGAACGUUUUCUACCUCCUAUCAAUACAACUAAUAAAUUGCUAACAAAAUAGCUACACAGACUGAGUUUACCUUGUAUUUGUAUUGACCUUUUAUCUCUGCACACUCACAGGGCCCUAUACACUCGCACACACUGUCACUCCAACACACACACAAACACUCACGCCAUAAUUUGCUCACUCACACAUAACAUGCACAUACAUUUAUACAGACUCUACACACCCGCACACCCACUCACAUGAAAACUGUUGCUACUCUGUUUAUCUUAUAGCCUGUUACCUAGUCCCCUUACCCCUAUACAUAUCUACCUCUAACCCUCCACUAUCCCUGCACA